ACAAGAACAUAAAACUACCUGAU
rnacentral:miRNA from 11 species